UCGGGAAUUUUGGGCAAUGGGCGAAAGCCUGACCCAGCAACGCCGCGUGAAGGAUGAAGUAUUUCGGUAUGUAAACUUCGAAAGAAUAGGAAGAAUAAAUGACGGUACUAUUUAUAAGGUCCGGCUAACUACGUGCCAGCAGCCGCGGUAAUACGUAGGGACCAAGCGUUGUUCGGAUUUACUGGGCGUAAAGGGCGCGUAGGCGGUUUGUCAAGUCAGUUGUGAAAUCUCCGAGCUUAACUCGGAACGGUCAACUGAUACUGUCAAACUAGAGUACAGAAGGGGCAAUCGGAAUUCUUGGUGUAGCGGUGAAAUGCGUAGAUAUCAAGAGGAACACCUGAGGCGAAGGCGGGUUGCUGGGCUGAUACUGACGCUGAAGCGCGAAAGCUAGGGUAGCAAACGGGAUUAGAUACCCAAGUAGUCCCUGAGCGGGCUGGCAAGGCGCAU
rnacentral:rRNA from 1 species